AGCAUGGCACCCAGCUACACUCAGGAGCAGUAUGACAGAGAGUUAACCAUGCGGCUGGCUUUCUUUGGACCCAACCCCCCGGAGAAAUAUGUGCAGCUCGUAAGGAGCCAGGUAGACGAGUACCUGCAGUUCAUGGCAGAUCCAGCCAAAGGUAUCGGCCGCCCUAUCCGGUGGCAGAGUGCGUUACGGGGACUCAAAGGUGUACCCCAGGGAGCUGAAGGUGUUGUCCUUCCUCCCCAGUGGCAGAGUACGUCCCAGGGAGCUGAAGGUGGAGUCCUUCCUCCCCAGCGGCAGUGUGUAUCCCAGGGAGCUGAAGGUGCAGUCCUUCCUCCCCAGCGGCAGUGUGUAUCCCAGGGAGCUGAAGGUGCAGUCCUUCCUCCCCAGUGGCAGUGUGU